GGAUAUCUUCUCUCAUGCAAAGAAGAUGAGCCUUCAUGCACCUCUUGCUGCCUUUUAUGGCUCAUACACUUCCUUCUCUCAUUCAUUGGUUGAUAUUCUUCAUCUUCAUUCUCUUCAUUGUGCUUGUUGUAUCUUGCUGGAAUUGAAGUCUUUAUAGAGUUGGGCUCUUCUUCAAUGAUAUCUUCAUUUCCAUCUUCAC
rnacentral:lncRNA from 1 species